rnacentral:rRNA from 1 species
UGAGGAAUAUUGGGCAAUGGGCGAAAGCCUGACCCAGCAACGCCGCGUGGAGGAUGAAGGCUCUAGGGUUGUAAACUCCUUUUGUGGGGGAAAAGUAAGGAUGGUACCCCAAGAAUAAGUCACGGCUAACUACGUGCCAGCAGCCGCGGUAAUACGUAGGUGACAAGCGUUAUCCGGAAUUACUGGGCGUAAAGCGCACGCAGGCGGUCAGAUAAGUCUGAUGUGAAACCUUCUGGCUUAACCAGAAGACGUCGUUGGAUACUGUCUGUCUUGAGGCGAUGAGAGGAAUGCGGAAUCCCGGGUGUAAUGGUGGAAUAUGUAGAUAUCCGGGGGAACAUCUGUGGCGAAAGCGGCAUUCUGGCAUUUGCCUGACGCUCAUGUGCGAAAGCGUGGGGAGCAAACGGG